rnacentral:rRNA from 1 species
AGCAGCCGCGGUAAUUCCAGCUCCAAUAGCGUAUAUUAAAGUUGUUGCAGUUAAAAAGCUCGUAGUUGAAUUUCGGAAUCUGUCCGUUGGUCGGGCUUCACUGUCCGUACUGAUGUGAUGGGUUCUUACCUUCUGAAUAACCAUCAUGUCAUUAAUUUGGUGUGUUGGGGAAGCAGGACUAUUACCUUGAAAAAUUAGAGUGCUCAAAGCAGGCUAGUGCCUGAAUACAUUAGCAUGGAAUAAUAAAAUAGGACGGCAUGGUUCUAUUUUGUUGGUUUCUAGGAUCACCGUAAUGAUUAAUAGGGAUAGUUGGGGGCAUUAGUAUUCAAUUGUCAGAGGUGAAAUUCUUGGAUUUAUUGAAGACUAACUUCUGCGAAAGCAUUUGCCAAGGAUGUUUUCAUUAAUCAAGAACGAAAGUUAGGGGAUCGAAGACGAUCAGAUACCGUCGUAGUCUUAACCAUAAACUAUGCCGACUAGGGAUCGGACGAUGUUAAUUUUANAAUGACUCGUUC